rnacentral:tRNA from 2 species
GGUAAGAUGGCUGAGAAAAAGCGAUAAAUUGUAAAUUUAUUAACGAAUAGAAAAUUCUCUUACCA